rnacentral:rRNA from 1 species
AUGAACAUCGCCCUCUUAUCCCGCUGGCUUUGGCACAUUUUGUAAGGGCAAGGUGGCCUAUGGUUAGACAUCAUCCGGAACAAAUACCUGCAUGGGCAACCCCUCGCCUUCUGUCAGAGAUCUGGCGGCUCCCAGUUCUGGCAGUCGGUCAUCCAACUACUCCCAGUUUUUGUGCAUUGGGACCUCCAUUUCGGUUGGAUCUGGGGUUGCGACUUUGUUCUGGUUCAACCGGUGGGCAGGACACACCCCCUUUACCGCGCGCUUUCCCGACCUCUUCUCCAUUGUCAUUGA